UGGAGGCAGCAGUGAGGAAUUUUGCGCAAUGGACGAAAGUCUGACGCAGCAACGCCGCGUGGAGGAUGAAGGCCUUCGGGUCGUAAACUCCUGUCGAUGGGGACGAAAGCCUAGCAAUAGGAUUGACUGUACCCGUUGAGGAAGCCACGGCUAACUCCGUGCCAGCAGCCGCGGUAAUACGGAGGUGGCAAGCGUUGUUCGGAAUUACUGGGCGUAAAGGGCGCGUAGGCGGCUUAACAAGUCAGAUGUGAAAGCCCCGGGCUUAACUCGGGAACUGCAUCUGAAACUGUAGAGCUUGAGUUCUGGAGGGGGUAGUGGAAUUCCCAGUGUAGCGGUGAAAUGCGUAGAUAUUGGGAGGAACACCUGCGGCGAAGGCGGCUACCUGGACAGAAACUGACGCUGAGGCGCGAAAGCUAGGGGAGCGAACGGGAUUAGAUACCCCGGUAGC
rnacentral:rRNA from 1 species